AUGGGACUUUAUCUCUGCAACUGUGACGCUUUCGGGCACCAGGCAGUGGCAGUAAACUAAUCCCAUAGAGCAACUAUGGAGCUUGCAGAAUGUUCACAGGCACGUCCUGUACGGCUUCUAGCCAGUGCACUUUUUGAAGCUCCCUCACAUCC
rnacentral:snoRNA from 1 species